UUGAAUUGUACAUCGAUUCGUAUGGUAACUGACCGCGCGAUUUCCUCUGGCUCGGCUGUUGGACGCUCGUAGCGUCACGGCAUCCUCUUCUAGGUUUCGUUUCCUUGCGUUCCCCUCUCUCUCUCUCAUUGACCUCUAACCUCCGCCCCCCUUCUCUCCCAUGGCGGCUGAGACGACCGCCUCCGUCUCCCCGUCGUCUGCUCUUCACCGGACUCCUCCUUGCCCACGAGAAAUCCAUCCAUGACGUGCAUCCUGUUGUCUCUUGGACGACACGUCCUGUCUCAGGCUUUGCCGUGCAGGGUCUUGAUGCAUCGGCCGGACUCUGCCGCCUCCGUCUACGACGGCGAUGCUACGGUCGCCGAUGAGAGUUGCCGGUAAAUUCUCUUUCCUGGACGAACAACUUUCGUUGUCUCUGUUCUCCGGCGGGAUUUCGAGAUCUCUUGACCUUCUCCUUGAAUUGUCGAUCCGUUGAUGGCAGAGACUUCCUCUUCGACGACAAGUUCUCUGUCUCUUCUUAGGCCUAGUUGCGCUGGGUUAAUUUUGCUGUCAGGGAACUUUCUCUUCUACGGCAUGUCUCUGUCUCUUCUCCGGCGAUCCGGGUUUCCGCCGUGUAGUGUGUAGAUCCUUGACCUGUCGGUCCGUGUGUGCCAUCCCAAUCUUAUGGUUAGCGGCAGAAGCUUUCUCUUCGACGGCAAUUCUCUGUCUCUUCUCCGGCCAAGUUAUGCUUGGCUUUCAGCCGUGUAGAUCCUCGAUGUUGCGUUUCUGCCGUCCCUGUUAACGCCGGCGAGGUUAGGGAGGUUACCGGUAAAGCCUCUCUCUCCGACGCGGUCUGUAUCUUCUGGGGCGGUGUUAGUUCCCCCCGGCGAGGUUACGGAGGUUACCGCUAGCGUCCAUUCUUGCAUGAAGUUACUGGACCACAUCUACCGUUGACGGCGGCGGAAAACAGAAGUGAUCACGCCGGAGCAAAGAGGCAUCGACAGAAACACAAACUAGGAACAAGACAUCAAGCAGGGAUAACAGAUAGCUGGUCUAGUCAGUCGAUCAUACUCAGGUUUUUGUUCCUUGAUGUGCCAGGUUACCAGACAUUGAUAUGAUGUUGUCAUUGACUUACUUUUACAUUUUUACUUUGAUUAGCAUGCAUGUACCACACCUCAUGAGCUCUUAGCUAAGUGUUAAGUGAAGAGCUUUCAAUGGAAAGCAUGCAAAAGAUGACCAGACUGUGAAGUGAACAACAGUUGUUUGUUUGAGCAGAAACGCAGUGCAGUAUUGGCAGUCCAAA